UACGGAGGGAGCUAGCGUUGUUCGGAAUUACUGGGCGUAAAGCGCACGUAGGCGGCGAUUCAAGUCAGAGGUGAAAAGCCCGGGGCUCAACCCCGGAACUGCCUUUGAAACUAGAUUGCUAGAAUCCUGGAGAGGUGAGUGGAAUUCCGAGUGUAGAGGUGAAAUUCGUAGAUAUUCGGAAGAACACCAGUGGCGAAGGCGACUCACUGGACAGGUAUUGACGCUGAGGUGCGAAAGCGUGGGGGAGCAAACAGG
rnacentral:rRNA from 1 species